GCUUAUCAAGAGCGGCGGAGGGAACAGGCCCUGUGAAGCCCGGCAACCUGAUAAAUUUUAUCAAGGUGCCAAAUCCUGCGGUUUAUCCGAAAGAUGAGG
rnacentral:ncRNA from 1 species